AGUAAUUUAAUUCGAGAUUACAUAGCCGAAUAUACGGCUAACUCCCUAGAGAGCAAUUGGGAAAGGGAUAAUAAAAGGGUGAGAAACAGGAUGAGGACACUUUUCUAAUCUCAUCCCUUCUCUUCCUCUCUCUGGGGCACUUUUCUCGUCUCUCUAAAAAGUUUAACAUUUAUUUCUUUAUGUUGCCAGCGUGGCCAUAAGUGAAACUUAUACAAACUUUUCUCUUAUCUUUAGAGAGAGAGAGAGAGAGAGAUAAUGCAGAAAGGUAAUUGGAAGGGCAAAAAAGGAGAAUGUCGCGGGGACUCCUUAUCCAAGGAUGCGGCGCCGCUCCGCCCUUGUCCGAGGCCAACACCGAACACCAGAAUUUGAAAUUCAGGAGUUUUCCCGUCUUCCUCCUCCCCACUCCUUCCUCCUCCUCCUCCUCCUCCUCCGUGGUUGUUGUUGCUGCUGAUAAUAAUAAUGUUACUCCUCUUUCCAAAACCUCGGAGUCUAUAAUUUCAACAAGUGUGACAAUAUCAUCGUCAUCGUCUCCUCAAUUCUCACGCAGAAAUGCACUCCUCCAAACCGUCGUCUCUUCUCUCGUUAUUUCCAUUCCACCUUUGUCCUCCACCCGUUGCUCCCCGGCUGCAGCUCUCUCUAUUGGAAUAUG
rnacentral:lncRNA from 1 species